rnacentral:rRNA from 1 species
CUUGGUCAUUUAGAGGAAGUAAAAGUCGUAACAAGGUCUCCGUAGGUGAACCUGCGGAGGGAUCAUUACAGAGUUCAUGCCCUUUGGGUAGAUCUCCCACCCACUGUCAUCACUACGAUAGUUGCUUUGGCGGGCCGCCGGGCCCUGCCCGGCCGCCAGCCCGGCUGGUGUUGCGCCCGCCAGAGGCUCCGCAGACUCUGAAUGUUAAUGUCGUCUGAGUACUAUACAAUAGUUAAAACUUUCAACAACGGAUCUCUUGGUUCUGGCAUCGAUGAAGAACGCAGCGAAAUGCGAUAAGUAAUGCGAAUUGCAGAAUUCAGUGAGUCAUCGAAUCUUUGAACGCACAUUGCGCCCUGUGGUAUUCCGCAGGGCAUGCCUGUUCGAGCGUCAUUUCAACCCUCAAGCCUGGCUUGGUGUUGGGCCUGGCCUAUCCGGCCGGCCCUAACGACAGUGGCGGCGCCGCCUGGCCCUCAGCGUAGUACAGCUCUCGCUCUAGGGUCCUGCGGUAGCCUGCCAGAACCCCCAACUCUGUGGUUGACCUCGGAUCAGGUAGGGAUACCCGCUGAACUUAAGCAUACCAAUAAGCGGAGGAAAAGAAACCAACAGGGAUUGCCUCAGUAACGGCGAGUGAAGCGGCAACAGCUCAAAUUUGAAAUCUGGCCCCCUCGGGGCCCGAGUUGUAAUUUGGAGAAGAUGCUUCGGGUAUGGCCCCGGUCUAAGUUCCUUGGAACAGGACGUCACAGAGGGUGAGAAUCCCGUACGUGCCCGGUGGCCGCGCCCGUGUGAAGCUCUUUCGACGAGUCGAGUUGUUUGGGAAUGCAGCUCAAAAUGGGUGGUAAAUUUCAUCUAAAGCUAAAUAUUGGCCAGAGACCGAUAGCGCACAAGUAGAGUGAUCGAAAGAUGAAAAGCACUUUGGAAAGAGAGUUAAACAGUACGUGAAAUUGUUGAAAGGGAAGCGCUUGCAACCAGACUUGCGCGCAGCCGAUCAUCCGGUGUUCGCACCGGUGCACUCGGCAGCGCGCAGGCCAGCAUCGGCCUGGGUGGUUGGAUAAAGGCCUUGGGAAUGUGGCUCUCUUCGGGGAGUGUUAUAGCCCAAGGUGCAAUGCAGCCUACCUGGACCGAGGACCGCGCUCCGGCUAGGAUGCUGGCGUAAUGGUUGUAAGCGACCCGUCUUGAAACACGGACC